rnacentral:rRNA from 1 species
CCACGGGGUAUUGCCGUAGUACGGCGAGUGAAGCGGCAACAGCUCAAAUUUGAAAGCUGGCUCCGGCCCGCAUUGUAAUUUGCAGAGGAUGCUUCUGGUGAGGUGCCUUCCGAGUUCCCUGGAACGGGACGCCAUAGAGGGUGAGAGCCCCGUAUGGAUGGACACCAAACCUGUGUGAAGCUCCUUCAACGAGUCGAGUAGUUUGGGAAUGCUGCUCUAAAUGGGAGGUAAAUCUCUUCUAAAGCUAAAUACCGGCCAGAGACCGAUAGCGCACAAGUAGAGUGAUCGAAAGAUGAAAAGCACCUUGAAAAGGGGGUUAAACAGUACGUGAAAUUGUUGAAAGGGAAGCGCUUGUGACCAGACUUGCGCCGGGCAGCUCAUCAGGGGUUCUCCCCUGUGCACUCUGCCCGGCUCAGGCCAGCAUCGGUUCUCGUGGGAGGAUAAGAACGGUUGGAACGUGGCCCCCCUCCGGGGGGGUGUUAUAGCCUACCGUACGAUACUCCCGUGGGGACCGAGGUUCGCGCUCCGCAAGGAUGCUGGCGUAAUGGUCAUCAGCGACCCGUCUUGAAACACGGACCA